rnacentral:rRNA from 1 species
CCCUACGGCCAUGCUACCCUGAACACGCCUGAUCCCGGCUGAUCUCGGAAGCUAAGCAGGGUCGGACUUGGUUAGUACUUGGAUGGGAGACACCUAGGAAGACCAGGUGCUGUGGGCG